GAUGAACGGCUGGCGGCGCACAUAAGACAUGCAAGUCGGAACGGACGUUAACCAGUUAGUUUACUAUUGGAGCGGUUAGUGGCGGACUGGUGAGUAACGCGUAAGCAAUCUGCCUAUCAGAGGGGAAUAACAGUGAGAAAUCACUGCUAAUACCGCAUAAGCCCACAGCUCGGCAUCGAGCAGAGGGAAAAGGAGUGAUCCGCUUUGAGAUGGCCUCGCGUCCGAUUAGCUAGUUGGUGAGGUAACGGCCCACCAAGGCAACGAUCGGUAGCCGGACUGAGAGGUUGAACGGCCACAUUGGGACUGAGACACGGCCCAG
rnacentral:rRNA from 1 species